GGGGAAUAUUGCACAAUGGGCGAAAGCCUGAUGCAGCGACGCCGCGUGAGGGAUGACGGCCUUCGGGUUGUAAACCUCUUUCAGCAGGGAAGAAGCGAAAGUGACGUUACCCGCAGAAGAAGCACCGGCUAACUUCGUGCCAGCAGCCGCGGUAAUACGAAGGGUGCAAGCGUUAAUCGGAAUUACUGGGCGUAAAGCGCGCGUAGGUGGUUCAGCAAGUUGGAUGUGAAAUCCCCGGGCUCAACCUGGGAACUGCAUCCAAAACUACUGAGCUAGAGUACGGUAGAGGGUGGUGGAAUUUCCUGUGUAGCGGUGAAAUGCGUAGAUAUAGGAAGGAACACCAGUGGCGAAGGCGACCACCUGGACUGAUACUGACACUGAGGUGCGAAAGCGUGGGGAUCAAACA
rnacentral:rRNA from 1 species